rnacentral:rRNA from 1 species
CCUACGGGGGGCAGCAGUGGGGGAUAUUGCACAAUGGGGGAAACCCUGAUGCAGCGACGCCGCGUGAGCGAUGAAGUAUUUCGGUAUGUAAAGCUCUAUCAGCAGGGAAGAAAAUGACGGUACCUGACUAAGAAGCCCCGGCUAACUACGUGCCAGCAGCCGCGGUAAUACGUAGGGGGCAAGCGUUGUCCGGAUUUACUGGGUGUAAAGGGAGCGUAGACGGCAGUGCAAGUCUGAAGUGAAAGGCAAGGGCUCAACCUUUGGACUGCUUUGGAAACUGUGCUGCUAGAGUGUCGGAGAGGCAA